CUGGCCCCUACAUUUUUUUUAGGGGAGAUUGGUACACCUGGCUAUGUUCAAUAGUAACCAGCACAAUGCUUCGGCAGAUGUGUCGAAAAUAGCUGGGCUACUUUUGGACCCAAAAGUUAAACGGGAGAAAAAAUAGUAGUUCCCGGCCCACUUGAUUCCAUGCAGGUGCCACAGUGUGGGGUGGAUUGGUAGCAAUUUAAAG